UAUUUUUUAGAAUAACUCUAUAAUUUUAUAAUUUAUAGUUUUUCAAAGUAAUCAGCCACAAAUGCAGUGGGUUUUAAUCUCUAAAACUCUUGAUUCUCAAAGCACACCAGGAACAGACAGCAGAAAUGACUAAUAUUACUAUAUUACAGACUGACUCACAUAAUGUGUUUUAUCACAUCCAUUAUAUCAAUAAACACCUCAUCUUCACAAACUUAAUACUAUUAAUAUCCUAAUUUCAUAAGUAGAUACUCAUACUUGGUAUUUUAGUAGAUGUCAAAAGGUUUAACAGUGAUGUAUAGCAUUUAUGCAUCUGUGGGUGGUUGCUGGAUAAGAUCCCCGUGUGCUUUGUAAUCCUGGAAGCAUAUGUCUUCUGGUUACAUUCUAUUACAGGUGUCUAACUACCUCCAUAUUACAACUGUCACUGUUAUUCUUAUAGGAGUGGCGUGCAGUUAACCCAAAAUCAAAGCCUGUAAUUUGUGGCUGAUGGUGCACUUUGAGAUCAGGCCAAUCUCACUGCUCCAGGCGUCUAUGAGCGAGACUUGAUUAGGCCAAAUUACAUAUGGGAGCUAGUGCUGUAACCACAGCUCUGUUCAGAGUGAAACAAGCCCUCCAUACAGCCCCUGGAGCUCAGUUUCCGUUCCCAGAUAAGGGGGCCUUCAAUUCGCUUCACCCCAGCCACGAUGAGGGUACGUGGGCUAGGCGGCCCUCUAUACAGCCCCUGGAGCUCAGUUUCCGUUCCCAGACAAGGGGGCCUUCGACUUGUCUCACCCCAGCCACAGUGAGGGUACAUAGGCUAGGCCCUCUGUACAGCCCCUCGUCCCAAAUUAUGGAAAAUUCCAAGAAAAACGCAAUCGUAUGAAUCGCAACGGCAUGUUUUGGAAGGUUUGACCCGAUCCCCCGUUUCUGACUUAGUCAUUUUCUUCGACCUAGGGUCUCCGCCCUGCCGAGCUAGGCCAAAGAGGGUUUAGAUCUAGUAACAUUUUAAAGAAAAAUGAUAUAUAUAUAUUUUUGCAUCAUGUGUUAUAUGGUAACCUAUAGUUAACCAGUUAAUGGAUCUUUUAAUGUAAAAAUCACAAUCUUUUGUAAUUCCAAAAAACACA